rnacentral:lncRNA from 1 species
UUUUUUUUUUUUUUUUUUUUUAAUUGUACACACCCGCAACAUAUGGAAGUUCCCAGACCAGGGAUUGAAUCCAAGCUGCUGAUGCCACCUUCAGCCAUCACCUGUAGGGCACAGCUGAGGCAUCACCGGAUCCUUUAAUCCACUGCAUUGGUCCAAGGGUUGAACCUGCACCUCUGCAGUGAACCACGCAGCUACAGUUGGAUUCUUAACCCACUGUGUCACAGCAGGAACUCCCAUUAUAUGUGCUUUUCAAGGAAAGAUAGCUUAUGUUCUAUUUAUAACAUAAAGGCAACUUGGUGCCAAGGAAAAUGACUGGAAUUAGAUGAGAGACUUCCUUUCAACAUGAAAUUGCAGAGCCUCUUCAAAGUUAAAUUUUCUCAUCUGUGAAAUAAGAUUAAUCUCUGCUUUAUUGUAAUUUGUAUACUAUCUCUUCAUUUGGAAAGAGUCACAAGCGCAGGGUUUGGUUUAAGUUAUAGUUAUUAUCACAUGUUGAAAGAUGCCAGUGACGGUGAUGUUGUGGAUGCGAUUCAUACAUCUAGUUAGAGGGCAGAUGCGGUAUGUUCUGGGACAUAGAGGUCAAGCCUUCCAACAUUCCUUAUAUAAUUGAAGGUGAACUAAAGGAAGUAAGCCCAGGAGCAUCCACAGAAGCAGCACAAAGGUGGAAGUACAACAUUAUGGGACUAUAAUGUUGUGCUUUUCAUUAUAUCAUGUGUAUCAUAAGUGUGAACUGAAUUAUUGAAUGACAAAAUGACUAAAAAAACAGUAGAGACCCUUCCGUAUUGACUUCUGAGAGAGGUUCCUGCUAGUUAUUGUCAUCAUAUCCAAUGAUUUUCAUGAAGCCAGAACUCAGAAUUCAAGCAGAUAGGUAGGCUCUGGGAUUGAAAAGACUUCUUCAUUCUGCUUCCUGGGUGACUGGGUUGCGGGGAAAGGAAGGCAAGGCACGGGGGAGUGAAGAGGGUAGAAGGUCCAGCUGUUAACCUGGGAUUCAAGCUUAUAGUUCCUUCGAUGCUUAUGGAGACUGGCAAGAACCAAAGAUAUCAGGCCAGGAUAGGAGGAUAUAUACCAGAUGGUGUGCGCGUGUGUGUGUUUCUUACUGGCUUUUUUAUGCACUUGACUGUGACCUUGGGGAGUCAUAUACCUUUCUAAGUGACACGUUUUUGUCUUUGUUUUGUUGUCUAAUCUGAAAAGGGAGGUAACGAUGACAUUUAUAGAGUUGGUGUGAGGAUUACUCUUGAAAAUGCCUGCGAUGUGCUUACUGACCGAAAAUCUCCUAUCGUCGUGGCUCUUCUCAGUAAGAAGAAUAUAGUUCCAAAGGCAAUAGUUUGUAUCUAUUAACCCCAGGCUAUCGCCUUUGGAAUGGAUUAGCAAUGAGAUCCUGCUGUGUAGCCCUGGGAACUAUGUCUAGUCACUUAAGGUGGAGCAUGACAAUGUGAGAAAAUAGAAUGUGUACAUGUAUGUGUAACUGGAUCACUAUGCUGUACAGUAGGAAAAAAAAUUGCAUUGGGUGGAGUUUCUGUCAUCGCACAGUGGUUAACGAAUCCGACUAGGAACCAUGAGGUUGCGGGUUCGAUCCCUGGCCUCGCUCAGUAGGUUAAGGAUCCGGCAUUGCCGUGAGCUGUGGUGUAGGUCGCAGACGUGGCUUGGAUCCCACUUUGCUGUGACUGUGGUGUAGGCCAGCGGCUAUAGCUCUGAUUCGACCCCUAGCCUGGGAACCUCCAUAUGCCGCAGGAGCGGCCCUAGAAAAGGCAAAAAGACAAAAAAAGAAAAAAAAAAUUGUGUUGGGGAAAUAACUAUUAAAAAAAAAAAAAAGAAUAUAGUUCUAGGGCUGAGUUGUUUAAGACAGAAGUUUAACCUAAUGCUGAGUGUCCAGACUUGCCUCUGACUUGAGGAUCUCUAAUAAACAGAUAUAAAGGACAGUGUGGUUGUGACAAAACUGAGGCCGCCAUGAUGGAAUGCAAACAGGUUAGGACGGAGGCAGAUACUGAGGACUUCUCAGCGGACAAACUAUAUUGCAAGAAGAGCAGCCAGAAGCCAUUGGGACCAAAGCCACCAUAAGGAGACUGUUUACACUGGAGAAAAGAGAGAGGGGCCAGGGCAGAAGGCUGCAUCUGGAAGGCAGGUUUCAGAGUUCGUAAGAAAGCAAAGUGACUUUCUUGGGUAUUGAAAAAAAUAAUUGAAAAUACUUUGUUUCUAUUAAAAUAAGCAUGAUUACAUUGUGAAAUACAGCAUACAUUUUUGAUUAUGUAUUUAAACAAUGCCCUAGACCAAAAAGGUAUUUUGGAGAUUGCCUCCUUGAUCUCGGGUCCCAGACCAUCGGUGUAGACCUCUGCGCCACUCCAACAUGGGAGUACUUUCAAGGACUCAUUUGAGAAGCUCUGGUUCAAGACCAUAGGUUCUCUUGACUUUGCAAUAAAAUAUAUUCAAGAGAUUAUCUUGAACACAUCAAGAUCUUGAACACUGCUUCCUGGGUGACUGGGUUGGGAGAGGAAGGAAGGCAAGGUGGGGGGAGAGUAAAGAGUGGUAGGAAAAGUCCAGCUAUUAGCUUGGGACUCAAGGUUAUAAUUCCUUUGUUACUUACAGAGAUUGAACACAUCACUUAACCACUGAGAACACCUCUAUUAAAUGAUAAUCAAAAUGUCAAACACAAGUAUGGGGAGGAUGAAAGGAUAUACCUUUGGAAAGCUGUACCUGAUCCAGAGUAGGUGCUAAAUUAAUGUAAAUUCUGCCACCUCCCCAUCUCUUUGUAAGUUGUUAUAAAACCAACUGGAAACCAGUGAUACCUCCCCUGUGUGUUUCUUUUUCAGCAGCAAAUCAUUAGGUGAGCACGGGAUAAAACAAAAAAUUAUGAAAUGCAAUCUGUCUCUUUAAUAAAAACAGGGAAAUUACGAACAUAAACUUCAUUCAUAAAAUACAGAAAUAAUUAGUUCAUGGCACUCUUCGCCAUAUCCUGUUUCUGAUAUGCCCUAAACCAGGAUAUUCUGCUAAGCCUUGUGACAUUUAUUGAUCUAAUUUAUAGUUUUCUAUUGUUUGCCCAAAUGAUAGAUUAUCAAGACUAGGCUGUAUUAGCCCAAGAUAUCUAAGAGAAAUAAAAAUUCCAUUUGUUCUCCACAUGCUAUGCUUAAGCACCCAGGUUUCUUUCAAGUUCAAAUCAAGCUAUUGCAGAAAUUUACAGGUUGGCAUUUAUAAAUGCAUGAAGUACAUAGAUGAGGUGAAAGCUACCUUGUUACUUCAAAAACAAAUUGUAAAUGAGCUCAAAAGAGGUGAAUUGAGGGUAGCUAAACAAAUAUGGUACCUCACCUGGUAGGUAAUAAAGUUAAGGAGCUCAUUAACCCCAGCAGUGUUAUUCAGUAAAAAAAA